AAAAACAAAAAGUAGAUUUGGCUAUGAGGAAUUGUUGAUCUAAGUUGAAAAGCAAGAAUUUGGGAUUUGAGCAUUUAUAGAAGCUACAAAGAAGAAAAAGAAUUAUUAUAUAGAAAAAAUAAAUUUAAUUUUUGAGUUCUGCAUAAUCUAAAAAAAUAUGAAACAUAAAAGAGACAAUGGAAAUGCUUUUGCAUGAGACAACACAAAAAGAAUUCCAAGAUUUUUCAUUCUUCGGUGGCACUUGCAGCGCUCAGGUCCACUGAUAAAUCAAGAGCCUGCACAGUGAUACAAGGUUGGGAUUAUGAUGGUUUAGUGACGGUUUUACUCAAAGAGCGGAGAGACGGAUAUGGAUAAUCAGAGUUCAGGAGCAGGAAGGAAGACGGUAGAGGGUGAGAGUGUGGAGAGAGAAGGAUUCUUAAAAAGGGUAUUGAGAAGGGAGUUGGCCCCAUUGUACGUGCUCGUGAUGUCAUGGACUCGCGAGGUAGAGGGCUCGCCAAGAUCUUGGCUUUGUAAGUGUCUGUAGCUUGUGAGGAGACUUUUAAUCAGGGGUAUCGUCCGUGAGGUCAAUAUGGGGCGCAAGGUGAGCUCAUGAGGUGUAGGUAUAACAAUAUUAUUUUCAUACUUGUUAGGGUUUAGGGUUUAAAUCUAGAUAAUAUAUAUUAGUAUCAAAAUGCAAUAAGAUGAAAACCCUUACUUUUCCAGUAAUCUUAGUAUACAUCUGGAUCACAUCAUUCA